rnacentral:rRNA from 1 species
GGACCCGCACAAGCAGUGGAGCAUGUGGUUUAAUUCGACGCAACGCGAAGAACCUUACCAGCGUUUGACAUGGGAAGUGCCGGUUACAGAAUGGUAACCUUCAGUUCGGCUGGCUUCCACACAGGUGCUGCAUGGCUGUCGUCAGCUCGUGUCGUGAGAUGUUGGUUAAGUCCCGCAACGAGCGCAACCCUUAUCGUUAGUUACUAACAGUUCGGCUGAGGACUCUAGCGAAACUGCCGGUGAUAAGCCGGAGGAAGGUGGGGAUGACGUCAAGUCCUCAUGGCCCUUACACGCUGGGCUACACACGUGCUACAAUGGUAACUACAACGGGACGCAAGACUGCGAAGUUAAG